rnacentral:rRNA from 1 species
UACGAAGGUGGCAAGCGUUGUUCGGAUUUACUGGGCGUAAAGGGAGCGUAGGUGGUUAGGUAAGCCCUCCGGGAAAUCUUCAGGCUUAACCUGAAAAGGUCGGGGGGGACUGCCUGGCUAGAGGACGGGAGAGGAGCGCGGAAUUCCCGGUGUAGCGGUGAAAUGCGUAGAGAUCGGGAGGAAGGCCGGUGGCGAAGGCGGCGCUCUGGGCAGUAACUGACGCUGAGGAGCGAAAGCGUGGGGAGCGAACAGG